GAAAAACGAGGCGAUAACUCACGAGACGAAGGGUCGGGUCGUCACAACUUCUAGUACAAACAUCCUACAUGAAAUAAGGAGAAUUAAAAAUCUGUAAUUAUUUAAAAAAGACAAAUAAGAUAUUAAAGGGAAGAACUUCAUCUUUUUUAGCACCUUUUGGCCUUCCCCUUCCUCUUCCAGUGCUUUGCUUUGGUGGCUUUGAACUACCAACACUUGAAGGCAUAACACUUGAUGAGGUUGCAGCAGUAUUAUUUCCAGCAGUCUUUGCACAUCCCCUCUUGUUAUGACAAUUGCUAUAUGUCAUUUCCACUCCACCCUUGGACAAUUUUCCUGUCUUAUUUUCACCAGGCUCUUUCCUUCUAACCUUCUUUGGACUUCUAGGCAUCUUCUUGAUAGUAGGUGGUAGAACAGGUGGGUUUUGUGACUCUAGCCAUAUAUUCAUACCCAAGACAGACUGACGAAAGUAGUUGUAUGUUUUCAUGUAAUUUUCAUUACUGUACCAAUGAGAAAUAUAGUCCAUAGGCUCCAGAUUUGAAAAAUGCAAGGCAGCCACUGCGUGAGCACAUGGUAUGCCUUUUAACAUCCAAGCUCUGCAGGUGCAAGUUUGCCUAUUGAUGUCUACUAUAUGCUUCACUUCACUAGUACCUAUUCCUUGCUUCACUUCAAAACCAUACUCACCAUUCCAGAAGAUGUUACACUUCAUUGACCUUUCAGUAUUCUCUUCCAUGACUUUCAUGGCCAUUGGUGAAAAAUCAGUAAUUCAAGUGUUUCCAAACUGUCUUAGCUGAGCUAUUCUAUUCAUCAUCUUCACCCUGAUUUCUUCCAGCAUUGUCACUAUAGUCUUCUGCCUUGCUGCCAAAAUCCAGGCAUUGAAACAUUCUGCCAUAUUGUUGUCAACACUAUCAGACUUGCAGGAACAUUGUCACUAUAGUCUUCUGCCUUGCUGCCAAAAUCCAGGCAUUGAAACAUUCUGCCAUAUUGUUAUCAAUGCUGCUACUAGAGUUUGAGGAGUUUGAUUCAUAUGAGGAGUUUGAGCUAUCAUAUGUAGUAGGGGUAUACAUAGAUCGGGUUGGUUCGGAUUUUAGAAUUACCAAACCAAACCAAUUGUGUCAGGUUAUUAAAUCUAAAGACCAAACCAAACCAAUAAA
rnacentral:lncRNA from 1 species